GGCGCGCAGAGAGAGAGAGAGAAAGAGACAAAAAAAAUGAAGGAGGAAAAGGCCCUCACACUCCUCCGAGCGCGCACGCCCUCGCGCGCGGAGCUCCUGCGCAUGCUCGGAGCUCUUGCGCAUGCGCGGCGGUGCGCCGUCUCAACGAGUGCGCCAGGCACGUAAACGGUUGUACCGGUGUGCGGUGUAUGCCUGAACGUCGGUGUCUGUGUAUGCGUGUCAUCUUUGUGGCAUCACACGUCAACUACACUGAACGCAUACACCUGCAGCACCUUUGGGACUAAUGACACAAAGGUCAAGGCCAGCCUGGCGACCAUGCUUGCCAAGGAGUAGUGUAAAUAUGUAAUCUGUUUCCAUAAUUAGCAUAAGACAUGAAUUUAAGGAAUUCAUAUAUUAUAUCGAGCAAUAAAAACGGUUAAUGCAUUGCC